UACGUAGGGUGCAAGCGUUGUCCGGAAUUAUUGGGCGUAAAGAGCUCGUAGGCGGUUUGUUGCGUCUGCUGUGAAAGCUCGGGGCUUAACUCCGGGCCUGCAGUGGGUACGGGCAGACUAGAGUGCGGUAGGGGAGACUGGAAUUCCUGGUGUAGCGGUGAAAUGCGCAGAUAUCAGGGGGAACACCGGUGGCGAAGGCGGGUCUCUGGGCCGUAACUGACGCUGAGGAGCGAAAGCGUGGGGAGCGAACAGG
rnacentral:rRNA from 1 species